CAAACAGUCAUAUUAUCAAGAUGGGCAAUGUAGUCCAGAUUCAUGAUGAUUCUCCUAGGAUAACAUGGAAGCUAGGGGUGGUAGAUCAACUUUGCCAAGGUAAAGAUGGAUAUACUAGAUAAGUGAAAAUUUGAACCAAGAACGGAUUGACUAGUCGUCCUAUUUCAAAACUUUAUCCGUUAGAGGUUUUCGAUUCAACAAUACCAUCAACAAUGCCAGCCAUAGAGACCAGAGAGC
rnacentral:lncRNA from 1 species